UACGUAGGGGGCAAGCGUUGUCCGGAAUCAUUGGGCGUAAAGCGCGUGUAGGCGGUCCGGUAAGUCCGCUGUGAAAGUCGGGGGCUUAACCCUCGGAUGCCGGUGGAUACUGUCGGGCUUGAGUACGGAAGAGGCGAGUGGAAUUCCUGGUGUAGCGGUGAAAUGCGCAGAUAUCAGGAGGAACACCAAUUGCGAAGGCAGCUCGCUGGGACGUUACUGACGCUGAGGCGCGAAAGCGUGGGGAGCAAACAGG
rnacentral:rRNA from 1 species